CAGAAGCUCAGCUCUCAGGCUGCAUCCAGGCUCAGGCUGUGGAGGUGGUGACUACUAAAGUAUCACAGCCCCUGUGUAUGAGACCUCACUGAGGAUGGGAAUCCAGGGAUUGUCUUCAUAUUCAGCUGGCGAGGAGGAGGCAGAGCAGCAGCCCAGAUCUGGUAGUUCCCCUUUAAGGCCUACUUGUGACACUGCAGAAAUUUACACCACCUCCAAUGACAGCCACAAAGCAACUGGAUUUACUAAGUAAAGCCAACAGACUGAAAACAGGUGAAGCUGUACCAACGUGCAUUACACCAAAACACAGCAGCCCAUAAAUGUCCCCCUUUGUUUUUAUUGGCCUGUAAAAAAAUAAUAUGAUUUUUAGGUAUUUUUCUAUUACCUUGGUUUUGUUUUUGGCACACUUAUGCAUUUAUUUUUGGCCGUUCUCAAGUCCAAUAGAAAAGCCUAUAGAUUAAUCAUCAGAAAAAAAAAAAUACAUAACUAGAGUUCCACCAAGAAAAUUCUAAUACCUAACGCAGUCUUCUGCGGAAGAUCAGCCUUCUCUAGUUGGAGUUAGGCUAGGUUCAGACUACGGAAUUUCUGCCUGCAAUUCCUCUUUGAAAUUGCAGGCGGAAAUUCCGCUUGCUAAAAUGUAUAGUAUAAUGAAUGGGUUUCCGUUCACAAAUUCGCACUUCGGAAUUUGUGAAGCGGAAUUUGUGAAGCGGAAUUUGUGAAGCGGAAUUUGUGAAGCGGAAUUUGUGAACGGAAAAUCCGCUUGGAAAUUUCCGCCUGAAGAAAGGGGUUGCUCUUUCUUCAGGCGGAAAUCCGCGCGGAACACAUUGCAGUCUCUGAUUCAGUCGGUGCUGGCCGCACUUGGAAUCUCCGGGCGGAAAUUUUCUGCCCGGAGAUUCCGUAGUCUGAACCUAGCCUUAAAGAUAUUUCACCUGUUUCUGAAGACUUCUUGACACAUAAGGUUUGUGCACAGGAGCCAUUUUCAUAUGUUGCAACAUUGUCUAUAACUGCAAGUUUAGAACUUUAAUUGUGGACUAUGGAAUCGACAAUUUACGUGCUGUUGCAUUGUACUCUUAUUUGAUGUUGCAUUGUCUUUCUCACCACUGCAGCGCCAUGUAUUGGAGUUGUCUUUUGUUGACUUCUUUUUCUGUUUGCAUUAUAAACUGAA